AAAAGCUUGAAUCUCGUGUGAUCUCAGAAGCUAAGCAGGGUCGGGCCUGUUAGUACUUGGAUGGAGACCGCCUGGGAAUACCAGGUGCUGUAAGCUUUUU
rnacentral:rRNA from 1 species